AUAAAAAUUUAAAAGAUAAAUAAAUAAAAAUAAAUAAAAUUAAAGAGAAGAAAAAUCAGGCAGGUAGUGGCCCCUGACACAAUGAAUUUUCCCAGAAUUGGAUUGCUUGGGAACACAGCCUGAAGAAUGUGGUAAACUCCAUCUAAGGCUAAAUACCAGCAUGAGACUGAUAAUAAACAAGUACUUUAUGGGAAAGCUUUUAAAAAAUUUUUUUAAAAAGAGAGUAAUUAUACUGGAGAAAGAGAAAUUAAGAUAGAAUAAUUCUUUUUUUUCGAGACGGAGUUUUGCUCGUUACCCAGGCUGGAGUGCAGUGGUGUGAUCUCGGCUCACUGCAACCUCUGCCUUUGGACUUCAAGUGAUUCUCAUGCCUCAUCCUCCCAAGUAGCUGGGACUACAGGCGUGCACCACCACACCUGACUAAUUUUUGUAUUUUUAGUAGAGACAGGGUUUUACCAUGUUGGCCAGGCUGUUCUCAAACUCCUGGCCUCAGGUGAUCUGCCCACCUUGGCCUCCCAAAAUGCUGGGAUUAUAGGCAGGAGCCACUGCACCUGGCCUGAAGAACAAUUUUUAAAAGAAUU
rnacentral:ncRNA from 1 species